UGUUACACAUAUUACAACAGCUAUUACACACAUUUUAUAGCAGUACAUGCUAAACAUAGUAAGAAUGGAAAUAUGGAGAAAAAAAAUUGGCGAUAUCUGUAUCAGCAAGCCUAGUUUGAUAAGGCAAGCCUAGUUUACCGGGACUGCCAAUGUGUGUAAGGGAAUAUUUUGAAUCGCCUUUUUCAAGGAAUGAGAUCGAAAGGAGCUGAGAUGGCAAGGAGAUAUCGGGAACGUCGUGAUGCUGACCCAGACAGAAAAAGAAAGUACCUUGAGAAAGAAAGGGACAAAUGGAAAAAAGACAGAGAGACUGGAAAGAAGAAAGGUAUCAGUGAGCUCAGUGAGAGAGAAAAGAGGGCAAAAAGAAAGAAAUGGAGAGUGGCAAAAAGUCAAGCCAGAGCCAGAAACAAGGCCAGUGCUUUGCCUCAGUCAGAGACACCACCCAGCUCCCCUGCUGAAACUCCUGAAAAUCUACGUGAGCCAGGGCCCUCCAGGUUAGAUCAUUGUUUGUUUAGCUGAUGAGACUCAUUAGAAAGUUUAGAUUUAUUUGAAGGCCAUUAUCAACUGUAUGUCCCCAUAAAAUGACAUAUUGAUAACUAACUUGCUAAAAUCUUUGUAAUAUCCUUACAAAUAUUUGGUGUUUCAGGCAAUGGCGUCAAGGGGAAAGCAUUCGAAGGAGUGCGAAGAGAAAACUUUUAAAUUCGGCGCACUAUGCAGGCACAUCUGUACUUGAGGACGAGCUGGCACGUGUUUUCAAGUCACUCACACUCAAGCUGAGAGGUGACCCCGACUUCAUAGACCCUCUGACAUCAUUCAUCGCGUCCUAUGACAAAAUGACCACGGACAGUGCACUACGAUCAGCCUUUUCAAUAUUUGGGAAUUGCCCAAUGGCCAAGACCACUGGAUACCAAAGGCUGAAGGGGUUUCUCCAGACGACAGCAGUUGGGAGGAGGAAGGCGCGUCUGGGAGGUCCUUGCCAACAGGACGUCCCUCAAAGGCUUCCAGGGAGGACCACCCCUAUAAGAGGACGGGGAGGAGGCCAGCUGCUCCUCACGGCUUGGCUCACUGUGUGGAAGCCGAUAUGUCCCUAGGUGGAACACACUAAUGCCAUUGGUAGUCAGUAUUUUAUAGACAAAUUUUUUCUUCUAAAAUAUGUUUUGUUCUGUGAAUGUGCUACAUGACUGAACUCCGACCACCGUACGUUAAUAAAAAAAUGCUAAUUUUUUCUA